rnacentral:tRNA from 1 species
GGCGAGAUGGCCGAGCGCUCUAAGGCCCAGGUUUAAGGCACCAGUCUCUUCGCAGGCGUGGGUUCGAAUCCCACUCCCGUCA